rnacentral:lncRNA from 1 species
GCAGAGAUGGCUCUGGUAUAAUACCGGCAAAGUGCGUCUUCAAAAUAAAUGAAGAUCGCAGGGUCAGACCACAGGACGGGAGACCGGAACAGAACCUGCUGAUGCAAAUGAUGCAUGAAGUGUUUAUGCAUAUGCUUGUUUUUAUUUCAAAGGAACUCGAGGGUUUUAUUUGCAAACUUUGAAAUAUUUAGCAUUUUGAUCAUAUAUGAGAAUAUCUCCUCAGAUAUAUCAGGUGAAAAAAUUUUCCCGGUUUUUGCAUGUUUUGAAAUUUUUUGCAAAUAAACUCCUUUGAGUUCCUUGAAAAUUUUCUUUUUUUGAUUUUUUUUU